CACGGGAUAACCUUCCUAGUAAGCUGGAUAACUUCGGAACCGGAGCUUAUACCGGAUAAUAUUUGAACCGCAUGGUCCAAAGUGAAGACGGUCUUGCUGUCACUUAUAGAUGGAUCCGCCUGCAUUAGCUAUUGGUAAGGUAACGGCUUACCAAGGCAACGAUGCAUAGCCGACCUGAGAGGGUGAUCGGCCACACUGGAACUGAGACACGGUCCAGACUCCUACGGGAGGCACAGUAGGGAAUCUUCCGCAAUGGGCGAAAGCCUGACGGAGCAACGCCGCGUGAUGAUGAAGGUCUUCGGAUCGUAAAACUCUGUUAUUAGGGAAGAACAUAUGUGUAAGUAACUGUGCACAUCUUGACGGUACCUAAUCAGAAAGCCACGGCUAACUACGUGCCAGCAGCCGCGGUAAUACGUAGGUGGCAAGCGUUAUCCGGAAUUAUUGGGCGUAAAGCGCGCGUAGCGGUUUUUUAAGUCUGAUGUGAAAGCCCACGGCUCAACCGUGGAGGGUCAUUGGAAACUGGAAAACUUGAGUGCAGAAGAGGAAAGUGGAAUUCCAUGUGUACGGUGAAAUGCGCAGAGAUAUGGAGGAACACCAGUGGCGAAGGCGACUUUCUGGUCUGUAACUGACGCUGAUGUGCGAAAGCGUGGGGAUCAAACAGGAUUAGAUACCCUGGUAGUCCACGCCGUAAACGAUGAGUGCUAAGUGUUAGGGGGUUUCCGCCCCUUAGUGCUGCAGCUAACGCAUUAAGCUACUCCGCCUGGGGAGUACGACCGCAAGGUUG
rnacentral:rRNA from 1 species